rnacentral:rRNA from 1 species
GACGAACGCUGGCGGCGUGCUUAACACAUGCAAGUCGAACGGAAAGGCCCUGCUUUUGUGGGGUGCUCGAGUGGCGAACGGGUGAGUAACACGUGAGUAACCUGCCCUUGACUUUGGGAUAACUUCAGGAAACUGGGGCUAAUACCGGAUAGGAGCUCCUGCUGCAUGGUGGGGGUUGGAAAGUUUCGGCGGUUGGGGAUGGACUCGCGGCUUAUCAGCUUGUUGGUGGGGUAGUGGCUUACCAAGGCUUUGGCGGGUAGCCGGCCUGAGAGGGUGACCGGCCACAUUGGGACUGAGGUACGGCCCAGACUCCUACGGUGGGCAGCAGUGGGGAAUAUUGCACAAUGGGCGGAAGCCUGAUGCAGCAACGCCGCGUGCGGGAUGACGGCCUUCGGGUUGUAAACCGCUUUCGCCUGUUACGAAGCGUGAGUGACGGUAACGGGUAAAGAAGCACCGGCUAACUACGUG